rnacentral:rRNA from 1 species
CGCCAUUCGCCCUUCGGGGCGCAGCAGGCGCGAAAACUUCGCAAUGGGGGGAAACCCCGACGAGGGAAUUCCAAGUGCUAGCACUUUGUGUUAGCUGUUCUUCUGUCUAAAAAACAGGAGAAGUAAGGGGCGGGUAAGACGGGUGCCAGCCGCCGCGGUAAUACCCGCGCCCCGAGUGGUGGUCGAUAUUAUUGAGCCUAAAACGUUCGUAGCCGGUCUUCUAAAUCCUUGGGUAAAUCGGGCAGCUUAACUGUCCGAAUUCCGGGGAGACUGGGAGACUUGGGACCGGGAGAGGUCAGAGGUACUUCUGGGGUAGGGGUAAAAUCCUGUAAUCCUGGAAGGACCACCGGUGGCGAAGGCGUCUGACUAGAACGGAUCCGACGGUGAGGAACGAAGCCCUGGGGCGCAAACGGGAUUAGAUACCCCGGUAGUCCAGGGUGUAAACGCUGCGGGCUUGGUGUUGGGGGUCCUUAGUGGGCGCCCAGUGCCGGAGAGAAGUUGUUAAGCCUGCUGCUUGGGGAGUAUGUCCGCAAGGAUGAAACUUAAAGGAAUUGGCGGGGGAGCA